CUCCGCCACCGGCACCGCCGCCCCGUCCCGCCCCGUGCCUGGAGGUGCCACAGGGCGGGGGCAGCGUCCCCAAGUCCGUCCCGCUGGAAAACCCCGACAGCGGCCGCUGCCAGAGAGCUCCGGAGAGCCGCGGAGCCCCCUCAGCCGCCCGUACCUGCACCGCAGCUCGCCUGGACACGGCGGCUCGGCUCUGCUCUGCCCGCGGCGUGAUGGGGGAAAGGCCAGCUGAAGUUUGUUAAACAAAACUGCAAAGCCAACCAGAUCCUCGCGCUGGGCGCUGAUGAGCUCCGUCCCGCCGUUCUCGCUGGUUUUUCCAUCGGGAGUGCCACAGGUGUGGUGUAUUCGCUGUAAUGCGAAUGCAAGCCGCUCGGCCGUCGGGAGCUGCACCUGCGGAGAAUGAUUAGCUGGUAUUCCCUCGGAACGCGCUCGAGCCUGGGGGAGUCAGCCCAGAUUUCCUUCCCUCCCUCCCCCCAGCACAAGAUGAGGGCUGUGCAAACCUCACAGGCUUAUAACCUCAUUUGUCUCAUCUACACUCCCACCUGGAAGAGUACAGCUAUUUUUUUGGCAGCAGGAAUGAUACCUGGGGGGAAAGAAAAGUUGACUUCCCUUACUUCAGGAGAAGUUUCAGCUGAGUUUUCCUCCAGGAAGUUACAAACACAUGAAUAA
rnacentral:lncRNA from 1 species